UACAGAGGGUGCGAGCGUUAAUCGGAAUUACUGGGCGUAAAGCGUGCGUAAACGGUUAUUUAAGUCGGAUGUGAAAGCCCCGGGCUCAACCUGGGAAUUGCAUUCGAGACUGAAUAGCUAGGGUGCGGUAGAGGAAAGCGGAAUUUCCGGUGUAGCGGUGAAAUGCGUAGAUAUCGGAAGGAACAUCAGUGGCGAAAGCGGCUUCCUGGACCAGCACCGACGUUCAGGCACGAAAGCGUGGGGAGCAAACAGG
rnacentral:rRNA from 1 species